CUCCCGCCGGCGACCGGCGCACGGGUGAGUAACACGUAUGAAACCUGCCCGUAGCAGGGGGAUAAGCGGAAGAAAUUCCGUCUAAUACCGCGUAACAACCCAUGGAGGCAUCUCUGUGGGUUUAAAGGAAGCGAUUCCGGCUACGGAUGGUCAUGCGUCGCAUUAGCUUGUUGGCGGGGUAACGGCCCACCAAGGCGACGAUGCGUAGGGGUUCUGAGAGGAAGGUCCCCCACACUGGUACUGAGACACGGUCCAAACUCCUACGGAAGGCAGCAG
rnacentral:rRNA from 1 species